rnacentral:rRNA from 1 species
CCGGGCCCUAUCCAGCUUGUUGGUUGGGGUAACGGCCUACCAAGGCGACGACGGAUAGCUGGUCUGAGAGGACGGCCAGCCACACUGGGACUGAGACACGGCCCAGACUCCUACGGGAGGCAGCAGUGGGGAAUCUUGCGCUAAUGCGCGAAAGCGUGACGCAGCGACGCCGCGUGGGGGAUGAAGGCCCUCGGGUCGUAAACCCCUUUCGCCAGGGACGAAGCGAAAGUGACGGUACCUGGAGAAGAAGUCCCGGCUAACUACGUGCCAGCAGCCGCGGUAACACGUAGGGGACGAGCGUUGUCCGGAUUCAUUGGGCGUAAAGAGCGCGUAGGCGGCUCGGAAAGUCGGUCGUGAAAUCCUGGGGCUCAACCCCGGAACUGCGUCCGAUACUUCCGAGCUGGAGGCAGGUGGGGGAGAUCGGAAUUCCUGGUGUAGCGGUGAAAUGCGCAGAUAUCAGGAGGAACACCGGUGGCGAAGGCGGAUCUCUGGGCCUUGCCUGACGCUGAGGCGCGAAAGCUAGGGGAGCGAACAGGAUUAGAUACCCUGGUAGUCCUAGCCGUAAACGUUGGGUGCUAGGUGUGGGCGGAUAUCGACCCCGUCCGUGCCGAAGCUAACGCAUUAAGCACCCCGCCUGGGGAGUACGG